UGGGGAAUCUUGCACAAUGGGGGCAACCCUGAUGCAGCGACGCCGCGUGAGCGAUGAAGCCCUUCGGGGCGUAAAGCUCUUUCGACCGGAACGAUAAUGACGGUACCGGGGGAAGAAGCUGCGACUAACUACGUGCCAGCAGCCGCGGUAAUACGUAGGCAGCAAGCGUUGUUCGGAGUUACUGGGCGUAAAGAGUGCGUAGGCGGUUUUCUAAGUUCGGUGUGAAAUCUCCCGGCUUAACUGGGAGGGUGCGCCGAAGACUGGGAAGCUGGAGUGUGGGAAAGGCAGGCGGAAUUCCUGGUGUAGCGGUGAAAUGCGUAGAUAUCAGGAGGAACACCGGCGGUGUAGACGGCUUGCUAGACCAUAACUGACGCUGAGGCACGAAAGCGUGGGUAGCAAACA
rnacentral:rRNA from 1 species